rnacentral:rRNA from 1 species
UACGAGGGGGGCAAGCGUUGUUCGGAAUUACUGGGCGUAAAGCGCACGUAGGCGGCUUUGCAAGUCAGAGGUGAAAGCCCGGGGCUCAACCCCGGAAUAGCCUUUGAGACUGCAUCGCUUGAACAUCGGAGAGGUAAGUGGAAUUCCGAGUGUAGAGGUGAAAUUCGUAGAUAUUCGGAAGAACACCAGUGGCGAAGGCGACUUACUGGACGAUUGUUGACGCUGAGGUGCGAAAGCGUGGGGAGCAAACAGG